GCCAGAGUGGCGGAAUCGGCAGACGCGCGGGAUUCAAAAUCCCGUCCUCGUUCAGAGGGUGAGGGUUCGAGUCCCUCCUCUGGCACCA
rnacentral:tRNA from 1 species